rnacentral:rRNA from 1 species
UACGAAGGGUGCAAGCGUUACUCGGAAUUACUGGGCGUAAAGCGUGCGUAGGUGGUUCGUUAAGUCUGUCGUGAAAGCCCCGGGCUCAACCUGGGAAUGGCGAUAGAUACUGGCGGGCUAGAGUGCGGUAGAGGAGAGUGGAAUUCCCGGUGUAGCAGUGAAAUGCGUAGAGAUCGGGAGGAACAUCAGUUGCGAAGGCGGCUCUCUGGACCAGCACUGACACUGAGGCACGAAAGCGUG